ACCUUUAACUGCACAGUGCUGAGGAAGGGGCAGGCUGAGCUGGGGAGGUUAGGCCUGACUACCACCCAGGCUGAGGUCUGGUAGGAAGGCCUAAGGAGGUACUGGAGCUGCAGGGAAAGGCAGCUGGUCCUACCCCUUUGCCAGUGAUGAAUGGCCAUUACAGACUGCAGUCUGCCCCAGAGAAUGGGGGCUAGAUGAUGACUGGCAAAAUGCAAGGUGCAUAUAGAGGGUUGGGCGUUCCCCGGGGAGGGGAGACCCAGAGAGUGGGGACUGCCAUAGGGCAGAACCACAAGAUAAAGGGCACUGGGAUCCGGGAGGGACACGGGGGGCCUGAAGCAGGCGAGACCCUAGCCAGCAGGAGGUGCUCCAAGGAUGGAAAAGAGCUAAUUCCUGGAUCACUAGCAGGAGGCGCUGCGACGGUGAGUGCUCGAUCUUCUAUGUGAAGUUUUGAGAGACCCCUGUGUCUGUCAAAAGACCAUUGAACAUGGCAUUUUAACUGAGAUGAAUAGAGUUAUCCCUACUGUUAAUUGCAUGAAAAAUAGCAAAUCAGUGCUGUUUAACAUGGCUUUCAGUUCUAAAGAUAUUCUUUGUUUUUCCUUCUUGAUAGUUUUCUUUGUUUAAACAAUCCCAUGGAAUGCCAGGAAAUUAUAGCAAGCUUGGCUGAUCAUUUUGAACAGAUGAGUUUUGUUUCAUAUUCUGUGGAAAAAGUGUCCCAUAGGCCCUUUGCUUGAAAAUCUGAUACUAAUAAUCCUCAUUACUAAGAAUCCAACAUUUAACUGUAUCCGGGUGAAAAAGACCAGGGCAUUUAUUAGGUUAAAAAUUUUAUUAUCACAUGCGUUUUUUGUAAAUUGAAAGACAUACUUUGCAUUAUUAAGCCCAUGUAUAUAUAGAGAGAGUGUUUAGAUGUAUAAGGUGUUUUGUUUGUUUUUUGUCCCAUCAAGGAUCAUAUUGACAGCUGUACAUGAGUCCAAAAGUUUCACAUAAUUUAAAAAUAGAUAAGUUAACAGCUGCCUUAUCUUUAAUAUGGAGAUGCAGCCUAUGAAAACUACAGGGAUCCACUUGUUCUGUAGGAGUAGAUGAGUAACCAGUCAUUGAUGUCUGAGAAUUCAGCCACUGGUAUCGUGUGCUCACCUGUAGUGUCCAUGGACUGCACCUCUAUAGCUGGAAGGUACCCACAGUCAGCUGUGUAAAAUUCCACAGCCCUUUUGUCAACAGUUGGCCAUUCUGAGUUGGCUUACUGUAGUCUGUUUCGUCAGUGAUUGAAUUGUUAUAGAACAUCAAAGGAAUAAUUGGUGAGAUACUGUUUUUGAGGAUUCAGAUCAAGGAACCUUUAAAACAAGCACUAUAACUGCCGUGUGGACAUAAUGGGUGUGAAUUAAACUUUAUUCACACCAGUGUAAAUUGAGAAUAAUGCCACUGAAAUUAAUGAAUUUACACUUGUAUAAAACUAAUCUGAAUAAUUGGAGAAUCCAGCCUAAUAGUAGAAAGGGAUUAUCCAGCUUUGAAAAUAUCAACAUUAGACUGAUUUUUUCCCCUUUAACAUGUAAAUAAUAUACAUUACAGUUGUGUAUUUGAUUUUAAAAUGUCUAUAUUUUAAAAAGAAAAGAUCUUUAAACAAGAAACAAAGGCCAGUUUCACUUGUAACAAAUUAGCUGAGUGAAGAAGAAAUUUAUUUGGAAACUUAUUAUUGUUUAGGAACAGUUAGUUCACUUUAUACCAAAUGAUUAAAUAUAAUAAUACUCUACUAAAAAUCGCUCUUCUAGCCAGUGCAUCAAAAACUUUUUUUUGUUCAAACAAUUACAUUCUAUUUCAGGAUAAAAAGGAACUUCAAAAUGUGUUCGAGCAAAGAGUAUACAUCUGAUAGUAUUAAAAUCUUCCAUCCAUCUUUUAAAAUGAAAACAUAAUAAAGCAAAUGACAUUUAACAUCAAAAUAUCCUUCAAAAUAUUUAUAAUUCCUUUAAAAUAUAUUAAUCUUAUAAUUUGGUCAUUGUCACUGUAGAUCAUUGUACUUAAAUCACUAAUGCACACUUCAGUUUGGUAUAUCAAAAAGUAGUAAAUGUCAUGUUUGUAAGUAUUGGACCAGACUACACUU